rnacentral:rRNA from 1 species
CUACGUAGGGUGCAAGCGUUAAUCGGAAUUACUGGGCGUAAAGCGUGCGCAGGCGGUUAUAUAAGACAGAUGUGAAAUCCCCGGGCCCAACCUGGGAACUGCAUUUGUGACUGUAUAGCUAGAGUACGGUAGAGGGGGAUGGAAUUCCGCGUGUAGCAGUGAAAUGCGUAGAUAUGCGGAGGAACGCCGAUGGCGAAGGCAAUCACCUGGACCUGUACUGACGCUCAUGCACGAAAGCGUGGGGAGCAAACAGGAUUAGAUACCCUGGUAGUCCACGCCCUAAACGAUGUCAACUGGUUGUUGGGUCUUCACUGACUCAGUAACGAAGCUAACGCGUGAAGUUGACCGCCUGGGGAGUACGGCCGCAAGGUUGAAACUCAAAUGAAUUGACGGGG